CGUUAGCGGCGGACGGGUGAGUAACACGUGGGUAACCUACCUAUAAGACUGGGAUAACUUCGGGAAACCGGAGCUAAUACCGGAUAACAUUUGGAACCGCAUGGUUCUAAAGUGAAAGAUGGUUUUGCUAUCACUUAUAGAUGGACCCGCGCCGUAUUAGCUAGUUGGUAAGGUAACGGCUUACCAAGGCGACGAUACGUAGCCGACCUGAGAGGGUGAUCGGCCACACUGGAACUGAGACAGGUUCCAGACUAAUACGGGAGGCAGCAGUAGGGAAUCUUCCGCAAUGGGCGAAAGCCUGACGGAGCAACGCCGCGUGAGUGAUGAAGGGUUUCGGCUCGUAAAACUCUGUUAUUAGGGAAGAACAAACGUGUAAGUAACUGUGCACGUCUUGACGGUACCUAAUCAGAAAGCCACGGCUAACUACGUGCCAGCAGCCGCGGUAAUACGUAGGUGGCAAGCGUUAUCCGGAAUUAUUGGGCGUAAAGCGCGCGUAGGCGGUUUCUUAAGUCUGAUGUGAAAGCCCACGGCUCAACCGUGGAGGGUCAUUGGAAACUGGGAAACUUGAGUGCAGAAGAGGAAAGUGGAAUUCCAUGUGUAGCGGUGAAAUGCGCAGAGAUAUGGAGGAACACCAGUGGCGAAGGCGACUUUCUGGUCUGUAACUGACGCUGAUGUGCGAAAGCGUGGGGAUCAAACAGGAUUAGAUACCCUGGUAGUCCACGCCGUAAACGAUGAGUGCUAAGUGUUAGGGGGUUUCCGCCCCUUAGUGCUGCAGCUAACGCAUUAAGCACUCCGCCUGGGGAGUACGACCGCAAGGUUGAAACUCAAAGGAAUUGACGGGGACCCGCACAAGCGGUGGAGCAUGUGGUUUAAUUCGAAGCAACGCGAAGAACCUUACCAAAUCUUGACAUCCUUUGAAAACUCUAGAGAUAGAGCCUUCCCCUUCGGGGGACAAAGUGACAGGUGGUGCAUGGUUGUCGUCAGCUCGUGUCGUGAGAUGUUGGGUUAAGUCCCGCAACGAGCGCAACCCUUAAGCUUAGUUGCCAUCAUUAAGUUGGGCACUCUAGGUUGACUGCCGGUGACAAACCGGAGGAAGGUGGGGAUGACGUCAAAUCAUCAUGCCCCUUAUGAUUUGGGCUACACACGUGCUACAAUGGACAAUACAAAGGGCAGCUAAACCGCGAGGUCAUGCAAAUCCCAUAAAGUUGUUCUCAGUUCGGAUUGUAGUCUGCAACUCGACUACAUGAAGCUGGAAUCGCUAGUAAUCGUAGAUCAGCAUGCUACGGUGAAUACGUUCCCGGGUCUUGUACACACCGCCCGUCACACCACGAGAGUUUGUAACACCCGGAAAGCCGGUGGGAGUAAACCAUUUA
rnacentral:rRNA from 1 species